GCUGGCCUGCUGGGGGGCCUGUGGCAAUGACCUCAUCUGCCCACCCAACCCUACUCCCAAGGCCAGGCUGAAGAGAAGUUGGAGAUCUAGGCGCUAUGUCCCUGUUUGCUCCUGUUCCACUGGCAUGAGGGUAACUGUCAUGUUCCUCUUGUUCUUCUCUGGUCGUGGGAUGGAGGACCUGAUAAGGAAGUCCCUCUCCUCUGGGGCCUUCUGCUCUGGUAAAGGUAAGAUCAUACACUAGGAAGCCCGAUUCUGUCAUCUCCAGGACCAGAUGCUGUUGUUCGAGGACCCUGUGUGUUUGUGGUUUUUAGUGUCACUAAUGAUCAGUUCAUUCAGGAUGCUGCACAGACUGAGCACGCCUCACCUGGAGACCUUGGGACUAAAGGGACUUUCAGAGAUCUGGUGGCAGAGUCACGGCAGCUAUCUUGAGGUCCUGAGGAGGGAAGCCAUACACUGAAGCUGAUGUAACAAACGCUACCCUUUAUUUCUGUUGCAUGUGUGACUAACAACAAAUGAACACUGGCUGGGGGUGGGGGUGUGGCUCAGGGACAUACCAUGUGCUUACAUGUACAGGACUAUCUCCAGCCCCCAAAUAAAUGA